rnacentral:lncRNA from 1 species
CCUACAUCUCAUUGCUUGUCCUAAAAUGAUAAAUAAGAGACUGUCUUUAUCCAAAUGGUGUUAGUAAUCUGCUCACAGGCUAGAAAUCCACGGACAGAAAAAGUAAGUAAACGGAGCCCAGGAAUAGAGAAGGAAGUGCAGGUUGUGGACUGGGCAACCCCCAAGGCGGCAAAGAGGAAACCAGAUGGAAUGUCAGUAUUGCAACUGUGAUGCCUUUAUAUCAUGUGAGAAGAACAAUAGAGUCCUGGGAGGCAAGUGCAGAUGACCCCAAGGUCCUUGUGGACAAGGAAGUAAAAGCUAAGAAGAAAUGGCACGUUUCUUAGGAAACAUUUCAAUAUUGUUAUUUAUACAAGGAUGCAGAGAACAGUACAGCUGGAGAAUUAAAUGGAGAGAUCAGCGCACAGAUGGGUAAGAAAGCACUGUUUUGCCAACUGGAUAACAUCUGGCACAUUAGAGUCAACCUAAAUACCUAACAAGCUAAACAAAAGUUCAAGU